rnacentral:rRNA from 2 species
UCGAACGAGUUCUCGUUGAUGAUCGGUGCUUGCACCGAGAUUCAACAUGGAACGAGUGGCGGACGGGUGAGUAACACGUGGGUAACCUGCCCUUAAGUGGGGGAUAACAUUUGGAAACAGAUGCUAAUACCGCAUAGAUCCAAGAACCGCAUGGUUCUUGGCUGAAAGAUGGCGUAAGCUAUCGCUUUUGGAUGGACCCGCGGCGUAUUAGCUAGUUGGUGAGGUAAUGGCUCACCAAGGCGAUGAUACGUAGCCGAACUGAGAGGUUGAUCGGCCACAUUGGGACUGAGACACGGCCCAAACUCCUACGGGAGGCAGCAGUAGGGAAUCUUCCACAAUGGACGCAAGUCUGAUGGAGCAACGCCGCGUGAGUGAAGAAGGCUUUCGGGUCGUAAAACUCUGUUGUUGGAGAAGAAUGGUCGGCAGAGUAACUGUUGUCGGCGUGAC